GGAAUCCAACCCAGCUUUCCCCUUAGUACAGCUCGGCUCCGCCCUCUUGCCGUCUAGAUGACUGCCCUACCCACUCGGGGGAUUGUGCUGGCGUGGUCCUGGGUGCCCCAGCCUGUGCCCCCCUAUGGCACAGCGUGUGCGGGUCGCAAUCUGGAAAAUCCCAAGAUCUCUAGGGGGGCAGGGCAGGGCCGAUGUGCUCCGUGGGGUUAAAAGUGUUCCCUGAGUGAGACUAGACUCCUAAAUGGCUGAGCCAUACCGAGGAUGAGCGUCCAUGUGCUCCCCUGAAGAGAGCGGCGACCACCGGCUUGCCUCCUAGGGCAGCAGGAAAAGAGCGAUCCCACGGCGGGCGCGUGCCAGGUGAGUGUUCACCGACUGUGGGAAAGAGUUUACUGCGCCUUGCUGAACGAGCACGCGUUUAAGUCCAGCCUCUACAAGCACCUGGCACGCCAGCACCUAGGGAGCGGGGAAUUCAGUGGCUAACCUUUGCCUAGUGACAAAGUAACUGGUUGUAACAUUAUAGCAGCUCCACUCUCCGGGCUGGGGAGUAGUCUCCGAUUAAACAAAGUGUCAUUCCAAACACUGAAAUACCUUU
rnacentral:lncRNA from 1 species